GACGAACGCUGGCGGCGUGCUUAACACAUGCAAGUCGAACGGAAGGGCCUGGCUUUGUGGGGUUCCCGAGGGGCGAACGGGUGAGUAACACGUGGGUUACCUUCCCUUGACCUUGGGAUUACCUUAGGAAACCGGGGCUUAUUCCCGGUUGGAGGCUCUGCUGCAUGGUGGGGGGUGGGAAGUUUCGGCGGUUGGGGAUGGACUCGCGGCUUAUCAGCUUGUUGGUGGGGUAGUGGCUUACCAAGGCUUUGACGGGUAGCCGGCCUGAGAGGGUGACCGGCCACAUUGGGACUGAGAUACGGCCCAGACUCCUACGGGAGGCAGCAGUGGGGAAUAUUGCACAAUGGGCGGAAGCCUGAUGCAGCAACGCCGCGUGCGGGAUGACGGCCUUCGGGUUGUAAACCGCUUUCGCCUGUGACGAAGCGUGAGUGACGGUAAUGGGUAAAGAAGCACCGGCUAACUACGUG
rnacentral:rRNA from 1 species